ACUCGGUAACCAUGGCAACACGAAAAAUGGAAAAUUGAAAAUGGAAAAGUGUGUGUGUGUGUCACCUCACUUUACCAUGGCAACCCCAUCAGUCAGCAGGCCAGGUACAGAUGCUCUCAUUGUGUUGUACUCAAUGGUCAGUUCUUCCAGACGGUGGCGCUGUGUGUUCGUCACGUGUUUCAACAUGUUCCUGUAGGCAGCCUUCUCUGAGCUGCGGGCUUGAAAAGCGUCCCUGAUGACCUGCUCAUCUCCCUACACACACACACACACACACACAGUACAGAGUGGUCUACUUGCACACACACACUCAGUACAGAGUGGUCUACUAAUCCUAAUAAAGUGGGCGUGUCCUCACAGCGAGCGCCUCGGCCAGUUUC